GGGGAAACAAUUUUUGACGGGGGUAACUACUUUGGCACAACACCGGCUUUGUUACCCUCUAGUCUCCGUGUACUUCAGAUACAUGUAUUUAUGCUGUUUUUAUGCGUAAUAAAAGGAAUAAAACACUAAUCUUGGCACGUCGCCUCCAGCAGGAAGUGAUCCGCUCAGCAGGCACUGCUCUCGUUAGCUACCAGGUUCAUUUGACGGGGAAAGAAAAAUGAGCCAGAAACAGCAGAAAACGACAUCCGUCCCCACAGUCUGUGCGGUCAGGGAGAUAGCGACCUUAGAGAGUUGAUACCCAGGCAUAUGUACACGCCGCAGUUUGGAAACAACAUCUGCACUUCAGGUACGCUGGAUUCUUCUGAUACUCACUUAAAUGUGUCCCUGGUGUCCAGCAGGCUGAAGAUCGACAUCUGGAGUUUCUCUCUGAAGCCUGACUUCCUCCUUGUGCUUCUGUGGCUUAUGCGGCCAUAAAUUCGUCACCAUGGCGACCAGCUGGAUUAUUGAAAGUCCCCCGUCUGACUUUCUGAGUGUUCACUGUGGCUCUGCUCUGCAGCUGGUCUCCUUUUCCACUUUGCAGUCACUUGAUGUUGAAGAGAGGAAAGCCAGAGGAACAACGAUCCCAGAUGUUACAGCUGCUGUUACAAGGAUCGCUGUGAUCACUGUGAUCCAUGUCCUAUCAGAGGACUCUGAUGGCUGUGAGGACAAGAAGACAGAAACCAGGGAAACGUGUCAUAAUUAAAAAUGUCCCCUUACACACAAACACAAACAGACAAUGAGCUCCACCCGUGAAGUGAACUGACUGUGCAAGGCAUCAAAUCCAGGUGUUCGUGGAAAGCCUGCGUGCUGUGAUAUCACCCCACUGUCCUCCACUCAAACACUGACUGCAGAUCUGAGUUAUUGGCGCGUUUAACGAGCCAUCAACGUUUAAAAGUUCAGUGUGUAGCUAUGUAAAUGUGGUCGGUGUACUCACCGUCGGUGUGCUACCGGCUGCUGUGGGGACUUGAGGGUGGACUCGCAGGCGGACAGCAGAGCGGUGUCUCUCCCACUUGUCUAUGUCACAGUAAUAAACUCCUUCAUCUUGUUGCUGGACUCUCUUUAUGGUGAGGGACAGGUCUGCUUGUCGGUCCCACUCUGGUGGUAUCGACACCCGGCUUGUGUUAACGUCUUCCCCGUAUGUGAUUCCUCCUGUUCCAUCCAGCUGAAGCACCGCGUUUCCAUUUCUCCUCCAGCGCGCAGAUUUCACCGACUGACCCGCGGUGACGGAGCGGCACUGGAGUGUGGCAUCCUCGCCCUCGGAUACAUCAACUUCAGAGGGGACAAAUACUUCCAGCUUGAUCGCUUCCAAGUCUUUGUCGUUGCAUGUAAACUCGUACAGCCCUUCGUCGUUCAGAUCUGCGUUGUCCAGGAUGAGAGAGAGCCCUCUUUGAUUCACGCGGUGUGGAUGUUGUGGUCCGGGUUUCCAGACGUUUUCCAGGGAGGCGAUCAGCUGCGUACUGGCAUCUUUCCUUCGCAGAUUCAGUCUCCCCCGUCCCUUCAGGCACUCCUCUGACAGCAGAAACUCAACGUCAUCUCCUAAAGGAGCUUGGAUCAACUUUCCGAAAACCUCGCUGCAUAAAAAUAGAAGAAUGCACAAAAAGCUCAGAGUCUUCAUCCUGUGAAUGAGGAG
ensembl:lncRNA